UUAAAUUGAAGAGUUUGAUCAUGGCUCAGAUUGAACGCUGGCGGUAGGCCUAACACAUGCAAGUCGAACGGUAACAGGAA
rnacentral:rRNA from 1 species